AUUGAACGCUGGCGGCAGGCCUAACGCAUGCAAGUCGAACGGUAACAGGAAGAAGCUUGCUUCUUUGCUGACGAGUGGCGGACGGGUGAGUAAUGUCUGGGAAACUGCCUGAUGGAGGGGGAUAACUACUGGAAACGGUAGCUAAUACCGCAUAAUGUCGCAAGACCAAAGAGGGGGACCUUCGGGCCUCUUGCCAUCGGAUGUGCCCAGAUGGGAUUAGCUAGUAGGUGGGGUAACGGCUCACCUAGGCGACGAUCCCUAGCUGGUCUGAGAGGAUGACCAGCCACACUGGAACUGAGACACGGUCCAGACUCCUACGGGAGGCAGCAGUGGGGAAUAUUGCACAAUGGGCGCAAGCCUGAUGCAGCUAUGCCGCGUGUAUGAAGAAGGCCUUCGGGUUGUAAAGUACUUUCAGCGGGGAGGAAGGGAGUAAAGUUAAUACCUUUGCUCAUUGACGUUACCCGCAGAAGAAGCACCGGCUAACUCCGUG
rnacentral:rRNA from 1 species